ensembl:miRNA
AAAAGCCUGUCCCUAAGUCCCUCCCAGCCUCCCAGAGUUGGUGCCAGGAAGGACUUAGGGACAGGCUUUG